rnacentral:rRNA from 1 species
CGCGUAGGCGGUGUUUUAAGUGAGAUGUGCAAUCCCCGAGCUUAACUUGGGAACUGCAUCUCAGACUGGAACGCUAGAGUGCUGGAGAGGGUGGUAGAAUUCCACGUGUAGCGGUGAAAUGCGUAGAGAUGUGGAGGAAUACCAGUGGCGAAGGCGGCCACCUGGACAGUAACUGACGCUGAGGCGCGAAAGUGUGGGUAGCAAACAGGAUUAGAUACCCUGGUAGUCCACGCUGUAAACGAUGAACACUUGGUGUGGUGGGAGUUGACCCCUGCCGUGCCGUAGCUAACGCGAUAAGUCGUUCCGCCGUGGGGAGUACGGUCGCAAGGCUAGAA